UAAUGAUUGAAGUUGAUAGGUGCCCGCGUUGCUUUUCAGCAACAAAGGUGAAACUGGGAAAUAGGUGCGUUCUUAAAACAAAUCCUAUGCUGCCCCCGCAACGGUAAGUGAUUGUAGAUUUGCAACAUGCCACUGAACGAAAGUUUGGGAAGGCGCAAAUCAUAUCCUCACAAGCCCGGAGACCGGCCUACGCAACCUAAGCAUG
rnacentral:ncRNA from 2 species